rnacentral:lncRNA from 1 species
AAAUAAGGAUUACAAUUUGUGGCCAUCGAUUGUUUUUGAUCUUGUGGCCUAAGAUCAAACUUCUCUCUUACGAUACUUUUUUUUUAUCAACUCUUUUCUUACGAUUAACAGAGUCUUCUCUUCUCCUUCCCUAGAGAGUCAAGUCUCCACUCCAGUCUUAUUCUCUGGUUCAUCCUCCCCGUAGCUUUGUCAUUCACAACAGCGAACAUACCAAGAGUCGCAAAGAACCCUAGACAGCCACACAAACCAACGUUUCUGACGGUAUCAGCAUCUGUGUGCUGCUGACGCUUCCCCUGCAGAUCCAAUCUCUCCAGAUCCUUUCUCUUCCAGAGAAACAGAUCCAAUCUCUCUAGAUCCUUUCUCUUCAAGAGAUUCAGAGAUGGCAAGUGACAAACAGAGAUGGCGGAGCAGCGCCGGUGCAGCGCCUGUGGCAAGGUGGAAGAUGAAGGAGAACGUGUAGCAGCGCUAGUGGCAAGGCAGACCACCAGAGGAGACAGAGGAAAAGGCUGACGGCGGUUACCCGAGCUUCUCUCCGCUGAGACGGAGAAGAGAGAGGAAGAGGAAGACAGUGUUGGCAGAUCCCGAGCUUCUCCCUCCUGCGUCUCCGCUCAUUCUCUCCGACGCUGCUGCUGCCGCUGCUCACCCUGCGGCUUUGACGGAGAAGACAAUACGAUGCGGCUGGGAAGUUUG